rnacentral:tmRNA from 1 species
GGGGGCGUAUUUGGUUUCGACGGGGACUCAGGGGAGAAGAGAAGCGAGCGGCAGCCCCGAUCUGCCAUAAAAUCGGGAAAAACAAUAACUGCGAAUAACGACAGUUACGCCGUCGCCGCUUAAUGCGGUGACCGUCGACCCUAAGCCUCCUGCGGCGUAGGUCAUCGGCGUCAUAAAGGCAGGGAACGGGCCCAAUAAAGCUUUGAAGCGGGCCGGCAUUUAUGAAGCUACCGUAGGCGGAAUCCUGUUCGCGGGAGUCCGUCGAGGGGAAUCCUAAAACACGAACUGCGCUCGGAGACGCUCUUUUCGUCGGGUUUUCGGACAGGGGUUCGACCCCCCUCGCCUCCAUAC